UUUCCGUAGUUGAACCUGCGGAAGGAUCAUUAUUGUAUAACCGAGGUGCGAGGGCUGUCGCUGACCCGAAAGGUCGUGCACGCCCGAGUGCCCUCACACACAUCCAUCUCACCCCUAUGUGCACCACCGCGUGGGUCCCCCUUUGGCUUGUUCGGAGGGGGGCUUACGUUUUCACACAAACUUUGUAUGCAGUGUAGAAUGUAUUUUUUGUUUUUGCGAUCACGCAAUCAAUACAACUUUCAACAACGGAUCUCUUGGCUCUC
rnacentral:misc_RNA from 1 species